AUUGAACGCUGGCGGCGUGCCUUACACAUGCAAGUCGAACGGUAACAGGUCUUCGGACGCUGACGAGUGGCGAACGGGUGAGUAAUACAUCGGAACGUGCCCAGUCGUGGGGGAUAACUACUCGAAAGAGUAGCUAAUACCGCAUACGAUCCGAGGAUGAAAGCGGGGGACCUUCGGGCCUCGCGCGAUUGGAGCGGCCGGUGGCAGAUUAGGUAGUUGGUGGGAUAAAAGCUUACCAAGCCGACGAUCUGUAGCUGGUCUGAGAGGACGACCAGCCACACUGGGACUGAGACACGGCCCAGACUCCUACGGGAGGCAGCAGUGGGGAAUUUUGGACAAUGGGCGAAAGCCUGAUCCAGCAAUGCCGCGUGCAGGAUGAAGGCCUUCGGGUUGUAAACUGCUUUUGUACGGAACGAAAAAGUCUCCUCUAAUACAGGAGGCCCAUGACGGUACCGUAAGAAUAAGCACCGGCUAACUACGUGCCAGCCGCCGCCGUAA
rnacentral:rRNA from 1 species